rnacentral:snRNA from 1 species
AUCGCUUCUCGGCCUCAAUGGCUAAGAUCAAAGUGAAAUAUCUGUUUUUAUCAGCUUAAUAAGUUCUUAAGUUCGUUUGCUGAACGAAAUUCUCAACACGUUAUUAAUCAUCUACCUAUU